GGACGAGGAAGGACGGUACCUGCAGAAUAAGUCUCGGCUAACUACGUGCCAGCAGCCGCGGUAAAACGUAAGAGACGAGCGUUAUCCGGAUUUACUGGGCGUAAAGCGCGUGCAGGCGGCAUGGCAAGUUGGAUGUGAAAGCUCCCGGCUUAACUGGGAGAGGUCGUUCAAUACUGCCAGGCUUGAGAGUGGUAGAGGGAAGCGGAAUUCCGGGUGUAGUGGUGAAAUGCGUAGAUAUCCGGAGGAACACCAGUGGCGAAAGCGGCUUCCUGGCCCAUUUCUGACGCUCAGACGCGAAAGCUAGGGUAGCAAACGG
rnacentral:rRNA from 1 species